rnacentral:other from 2 species
GAGCCUCUGCGACGUUAGUACGAGCCGAAGAAUUAUUGAGCCAACACCUUCAAUGAGGGAGCCUUACAUGUGCCUGUGGCCGCCAUGCCUCAGGGGUGAGGAUCGCGAUAAGCAGGCAUGCGGGCACCCACCUAACGCCGAAGGUUCAAUAACAACGGCUUCUACGGCGGAGCGGAGGCUCG